rnacentral:sRNA from 1 species
GCCGGGCAGUGUGGCGCAUGCCUGUAAUCCGAGUGACUCAGGAGGCUGAGGCAGGAGGAUCACAAGUUUAAAGCCAGCCUCAGCAAUGGUGAAGCUCUGAGCAGCUCAGUGAGACCCUGACUCUA